UAAUACAGAGGCCUCAAGCGUUAGGCGGAAUCACUGGGCUUAAAGCGUGUGUAGGCGGACUUCUAAGUACCUUGUGAAAUCCCACGGCUUAACUGUGGAACUGCUUGGUAUACUGGUCGUCUUGAGCCACUCAGGGGCGAGCGGAACAAAUGGUGGAGCGGUGAAAUGCGUAGAUAUCAUUUGGAACGCCAAUGGUGAAAACAGCUCGCUGGGGGUGUGCUGACGCUGAGACACGAAAGCCAGGGGAGCGAACGGGAUUAGAUACCCCGGUAGUCCUGGCCCUAAACGAUGUCCACUAGAUCCUAGUCCCUCUGACGGGGUUAGGGUCGAAGCAAAAGUGCUAAGUGGACCGCCUGGGAAGUACGGUCGCAAGGCUA
rnacentral:rRNA from 1 species